rnacentral:rRNA from 1 species
GACGAACGCUGGCGGCGUGCCUAAUACAUGCAAGUCGAACGGUCUUUUCUAUGGAAGCUUGCUUCCACUGAGAAGAUAGUGGCGAACGGGUGAGUAACACGUGGGUAACCUGCCCAUAAGAGGGGGAUAACAUCCGGAAACGGGUGCUAAUACCGCAUAGUUUUCUUGAUCGCAUGAUUGAGAAAGGAAAGACGGCCUUUGUGCUGUCGCUUAUGGAUGGACCCGCGGCGUAUUAGUUAGUUGGUGAGGUAACGGCUCACCAAGACGAUGAUACGUAGCCGACCUGAGAGGGUGAUCGGCCACAUUGGGACUGAGACACGGGCCCAAACUCCUACGGGAGGCAGCAGUAGGGAAUCUUCCGCAAUGGACGAAAGUCUGACGGAGCAACGCCGCGUGAGUGAAGAAGGUUUUCGGAUCGUAAAACUCUGUUGUCAGAGAAGAACAAGUUGGAGAGUAACUGCUCCAGCCUUGACGGUAUCUGACCAGAAAGCCACGGCUAACUACGUG